rnacentral:rRNA from 1 species
UACGGGGGGAGCAAACGUUGUUCGGAAUCACUGGGCGUAAAGCGCACGUAGGCGGCCUAGCAAGUAGGGAGUGAAAGCCCUCGGCUUAACCGAGGAAGUGCUUUCUAAACUACUAGGCUUGAAUACUGGAGAGGGUCGCGGAAUUCCCGGUGUAGAGGUGAAAUUCGUAGAUAUCGGGAGGAACACCAGUGGCGAAGGCGGCGACCUGGACAGAUAUUGACGCUGAGGUGCGAAAGCCAGGGGAGCAAACGGG